rnacentral:tRNA from 1 species
UCCUCGGUAGCUCAGUCGGUAGAGCAAGCGGCUGUUAACCGCUGGGUCGUAGGUUCGAGUCCUACCGGGGGAG